rnacentral:rRNA from 1 species
GACGAACGCUGGCGGCGUGCUUAACACAUGCAAGUCGAACGGAAAGGCCCUGCUUUUGUGGGGUGCUCGAGUGGCGAACGGGUGAGUAACACGUGAGUAACCUGCCCUUGACUUUGGGAUAACUUCAGGAAACUGGGGCUAAUACCGGAUAGGAGCUCCUGCUGCAUGGUGGGGGUUGGAAAGUUUCGGCGGUUGGGGAUGGACUCGCGGCUUAUCAGCUUGUUUGUGGGGUAGUGGCUUACCAAGGCUUUGACGGGUAGCCGGCCUGAGAGGGUGACCGGCCACAUUGGGACUGAGAGACGGCCCAGACUCCUACGGGAGGCAGCAGGGGGGAAUAUUGCACAAUGGGCGGAAGCCUGAUGCAGCAACGCCGCGUGCGGGAUGACGGCCUUCGGGUUGUAAACCGCUUUCGCCUGUGACGAAGCGUGAGUGACGGUAAUGGGUAAAGAAGCACCGGCUAACUACGUG